GACGAACGCUGGCGGCGUGCUUAACACAUGCAAGUCGAACGGAAAGGCCCUGCUUUUGUGGGGUGCUCGAGUGGCGAACGGGUGAGUAACACGUGAGUAACCUGCCCUUGACUUUGGGAUAACUUCAGGAAACUGGGGCUAAUACCGGAUAGGAGCUCCUGCUGCAUGGUGGGGGUUGGAAAGUUUCGGCGGUUGGGGAUGGACUCGCGGCUUAUCAGCUUGUUGGUGGGGUAGUGGCUUACCAAGGCUUUGACGGGUAGCCGGCCUGAGAGGGUGACCGGCCACAUUGGGUCUGAGAUACGGCCCAGACUCCUACGGGAGGCAGCAGUGGGGAAUAUUGCACAAUGGGCGGAAGCCUGAUGCAGCAACGCCGCGUGCGGGAUGACGGCCUUCGGGUUGUAAACCGCUUUCGCAUGUGACGAAGCGUGAGUGACGGUAAUGGGUAAAGAAGCACCGGCUAACUACGUG
rnacentral:rRNA from 1 species